rnacentral:rRNA from 1 species
AUGUGCCUGCCGACGCACGGCAUGCACGCGGCCAGGAACACGGCCGCGGCGACCUUGCGCGGGAACCUCUCCAUGGCGAGCGCGAUGUUGAGCCCGCCGAGGCUGUGCCCGACCAGGACCAGCCUCUCGCCGGCCGGUGCCGCGGCCGUGGACGAGCAUGAAGUGCUUGCCGCUGCUGCUCCCCUCCAUCCGAUUUCACCUCAGGCAAGAGUUCGACUGGCUAUGCCGCCGCCGGUGAGCGGCGAGCGGCUUGCAGAUAUGUUUGUCGGGGUAUCUCACCAGCAUGGGCAUGGGCACAUGGCAAUCAGUUUCAGUCAAAGCGAAAGCAGAUUUGGAUACGGCAGCCGAUGGAGUCAUCAGUCCACCUUACAAUUCUCUCCGCAUUUCCUUCAAAAAAUACUCCACUUUGUUUAUAGAUUGUCACGUGAUGAUGUUGUGGUGGCCUUUUUACGAUCUUUUGCUUGA